AGUGAACGCUGGCGGUAGGCCUAACACAUGCAAGUCGAACGGCAGCACAGGAAAGCUUGCUCUCUGGGUGGCGAGUGGCGGACGGGUGAGGAAUACAUCGGAAUCUACUCUGUCGUGGGGGAUAACGUAGGGAAACUUACGCUAAUACCGCAUACGACCUACGGGUGAAAGCAGGGGACCUUCGGGCCUUGCGCGAUUGAAUGAGCCGAUGUCGGAUUAGCUAGUUGGCGGGGUAAAGGCCCACCAAGGCGACGAUCCGUAGCUGGUCUGAGAGGAUGAUCAGCCACACUGGAACUGAGACACGGUCCAGACUCCUACGGGAGGCAGCAGUGGGGAAUAUUGGACAAUGGGCGCAAGCCUGAUCCAGCCAUACCGCGUGGGUGAAGAAGGCCUUCGGGUUGUAAAGCCCUUUUGUUGGGAAAGAAAUCCAGCUGGCUGAUACCCGGUUGGGAUGACGGUACCCAAAGAAUAAGCACCGGCUAAUUUCGUGCCAGCCGCCGCCGUAA
rnacentral:rRNA from 1 species